CAUUUCUACAAACUAGAAACCAUGGUAAACCCAGAAGAAAAGGCACUCCAGUUCAACCUUCUCUACAAAUGAAGGAAGGGGCAGCCAAUCUUACUUCUCCCAUAGACCAGACUGAAAGAUGGCUAAGAAUGUACUAAAGCACACUUCCACAUGUAGGCAUGGGCAUUUCUUGAAAGAACUGGCCUUGGGAGAGCAACUGAAGAGGAAAGAACCAUCCUGAAUUCAGGUAGUCAACAGCCUGGAUGUUCUCUUGGAAUAAGUGAAGUAAGAGAAUAUCAGACCAGAAAUUAGUAUUGAGGUUUCUCAAAAGGUUUGAAAGAGAAACACUACAUGGCCCACAGAUAUCACCCCUUGGUGUAUACCCAAAGGAUUCCAUUUCCUACUGUGAGCAUCCAAGCAUAUCCAUGUGGAUUGUUCUCUACUGUAUAUAUAACACCAGACAACAUGGUCAGAAAAGCUUCAGCAUGAAUGCCACAUAUUAAAGGAAGCCUCAAACCCACCAGAAUGGACACCUUCAGAAUGCUGCAGCAAAGAGUAAAAAUAUAAAAAUUAGAAUGCGAGAAAAAUUCCAGGAAUAAACAAAACAAUCUAGGGUCAUCAGAUUCCGUAAUUGCACCUUGGACAUUUUAUGUGGCAGUUGCUACUUCCCAUUGCUAGGCCUAAGGUGAUGUAAGCU
rnacentral:lncRNA from 1 species